rnacentral:rRNA from 1 species
GGUCCUUUGUAGUAUAAAAGAUUUAGGAUCUGACCUGCCCGGUGACUUACUUGAGUUAAACGGCCGCGGUAUAUUAACUGUGCAAAGGUAGCGUAAUCAUUUGCUCAUUAAAUGUGGGCUAGUAUGAAUGGUUUGACGAGGAUUUGGCUGUCUCUUUAAAAAAUAUUAAGAAGUUAUUUUUUAAGUGAAAAUUCUUAAAUGUGGCUGAGGGACGAUAAGACCCUGUCAAGCUUUAGUGUGGCUGAAAGUCUUUUUGUGGAAUGUUUUAUAAUAGAUAUUUUGGUGAAUCUUUGAUUGGGGCGAUCUAAAAGUAAAUAAAACCUUUAUUUAAAAGUUUAGAUUUAAUUGAUGUAAGAUGAAGCGUAAAUAAAGUUGCGGGUAAAAAGAAAAAGUUACUGCAGGGAUAACAGCGUUAUCUUUUUGGAGAGUUCUUAUUGAAAAAAAGGUUUGCGACCUCGAUGUUGAAUUAAGAUAUCCUUAGGGUGUAGCAGUUCUAAAGGGUUGGUCUGUUCGACCAUUAAAAUCUUACA